AGGGAAUCCAGGGAGGGACUGUAACGGACUCUGUCCCAGCCACAGAAACUGUCCGCUUCAUACAAGUGUCUGGGAACACACUAACACUUUUGGAGCCACCAGAAGAUGAUCCGGGGGAAGGCACAUGUGCAGCUGCAGAAUGCACUUCUGCAGAUGAGGAGACUGUGUCACUGGACUCCAG